AUUUAAGUCUACGGAUUAACUCCUACGGCAAUGAAUUCAUUUCUCCUCUACUAUCAAGAUUCAUUGAAUGCCCUACCAAUUCAAGGACUAUAUAUGUGUUGUAUCGAUGUCUAGCAAAUUCUCAAACCUUCUUAUAAUCAAAAACUGAUAAAACCUAGAAACACCGCUUCCACCUAUGGCGAGUACUAAGCUCCAAUUCUUUUGAUUUGAAGGCAGAUCGUUGAAAGGAGAUAGUUGUGACACGUCUUCUUCGUUUUUUGUAGGCAAGGAAUAUGAAGAGUUUAUGGGUUUGGACAUGGUUUUUUCGAUGAGAAGGCUGUAGGCACUAAUAUUUUCAGACAACGUUGGUCCAAGGUUUAUUGGGGAUCAUAGACUCAACACUUUCAAGCGCCUGCUGAGUUGUUGAGGGAAGAGAGAAUCUACUACUAAUACUGACGUGGAUUUGCAGGCGGCUGUUACACAUGUCUUAUGCGGAUGUUUUAGGUGUUGUUUGUGGCAUCAAGGUCACCUUUAACAAUGAAACUCAGAGAAUACAACGUGUUAUGAUUACAAUCUGAGUUGAAAAGUAGGAGCAAAAAGUGGAAUCUUUGGAUGAUUAGGGCGACACCAGUAGCUUAUGGUCCUGGAAUAGUGCACCUGUGAGCUUAGAAGAACUUGGACGGCCGAGUGAUGCUCCUGAAGCAAAAAAGGCUGAGAAGAAGAGCAAAUCUUAAAGAUGGCUCUUAGCACUGCAACAGUCACGUUAGAGAACCAAGCUGCUGAAUCCAAAGUGAUACCAAAGGAUGACGUCAAGUGGAUACGAAGGAGGAGGUCGUGAGAUAUAGAAGAGGCUCACCAACAUUGUAGCCAAGAGAUGUACACAAAAAGUUCUAUUGAGUCUAGCCCAUCAUCUACUUCAGACUUCUUCCCUAAAGCAAGAUAAUUUUAAAGUGUUUAAUGUGUUACCCUUUUUUUUUUUUGCAACCACCUAUGAACUAACAGUAUUUUGUCUCUGAACCCAGGGUGGCAACUGUGGCCCUCGCAAUGAUAUAUGUCUGGAGCGACUCACUUACCACCAAUGUUUGUGUCGGUCCUACUGAUAAUGAGAAUGAACCAGCUGGUGAAACACUGCAGGUGAUGCAUCGGUCACGAACUUGCUGAUCCCGACGAGUUUUAAAGCAACUAAGAAGCACAGAGGAUACAGUCUUCAGCCACAUCGUCGGCUCCUAGAAUAAUGCUUAAGCAUAGUUGUUGGCAUGUUCUAGAGCAUUACCAAUAGAUGCAUAUUGAGAACCUUUUACGAAUUCUAGAAAAUUCCUAAUUUGUUUCUCUACUCCCUUCUCCAUUUUUAAAAUUGUUUCUAAAACAACCGAGAUAUGUUUCUACUCUGACAUACAAACAAUAUUGCAACAUUAUAUUUUUUUUUCUACA